UGUGUGUGUGUGUGUGUGUGUGUGUGUGUGUGUGUGUCUGUCUCUCUGUGUGUGUGUGUGUGUGUGUGUGUGUGUGUGUGUGUGUGUGUGUGUGUGUGUGUGUGUGUGUGUGUGUGUGUGUGUGUGUGUGUGUGUGUGUGUGUGUGUGUGUGUGUGUGUGUGUGUGUGCGUUUGCAUGCAGGGCGUGUGAUGCGUCAGUGCAGUAGUGUUGCAGUAGCAGUGCUUGUAGUUAGUGCAUGCUGCUUCUGCUUGCCACUCUCUGCUUUCAGCUACUGCCACCGGAUAGCCCUUUGUUUUCAGGGGCGAAAAGAGGAGCCGAGUGUGUAAGGCUCCUCAGCCGGUACAUAGCCUCUCCACUGCCAAGAUCUUGUACACGCCUCCCCGUGGCACACAUGGUAACUGGUCCCUUGUGGUUCCAGGCUAAGUUGUACAGGAUCUCGGAGCAGCAGUGGGCCCCAGAGACGUGGCAUGCAGGCCCAUCGGUGAGUGGAAACGCCCUGAUGUCCGUCAACCACUGUCCCAGUUAUGGGUAAAUAGCCCCAGCUAUGGGUAAAUAGUGAAGACCCCAACAGCAGCGCAGGCGGAAGAUGUUGGUGUGAGAACCACCACCACAACAGCUGGGAAGGCGGAAGAAGGCAACCCCACAGCCACGUGGGUUAACUCGGGAGGGUACAGUGGCUAGGGGAGCAAACCCCGAAGACAAACCUGCACCUGGGGACAGGCACAGGUGGAGUCCAUGUGGUAGGAGUGAAGAUGGUGGGAGUGAGGUCUGCGCACCCACACCCUCACCUUAAUCCUCACCUAUGCGCAAGCUUCUUGCCGCCACCCCCGAAAAACGUCCUGUGGCGAUGUGUAGCAGAGGAGAUAAUGAGAUGACUGUGAUCACCUGGCCGGUCCUCCCAGACUAUUUAACCCCGCCUGCCCCGAGACCAGGCGGCCGCAUUCUCCCGACUGCACACCAACAUGUUUUCUCUCUGUUUGAGUUUUCCCUUUGUUAACUACUGACAACAUGCACCUCACAUUCUCCAUUACAUCCAUACACCUUCAUUCAUCACUGAUACUGACAAUCACACCUCAUCGUUCUCUUGUUUGCAUCAUUAUUUAAUAAAUGUCACUUUAUUAUUGU